GGGGGUGCACUGGCUUCGACGGGGGUCGCGAAAUCGCUUGGCGCAUGCCGAGGGGGUAGCUUUCCUCGUAAAUCCAGCUGCAAACUUUUAGUUGCCAACGACGACAACUACGCACUGGCCGCUUAAGGCCUAAGCCCCGAAACCGCUUGUGUCCGUGCUCGCGAUGUAGGGUCAUUUAUCACGGAAUCGCCGGGAGUGGCUGCCUGCCAGCACCCGGUUAACACACAGCAGGCUGGUCCGCCGAUGCGCUUUGCGCACCGUGCUGUCGGUGGAUGAGAUCCAACGGUGAGCUAAGCAUGUAGUGCCGGGGAUGGAGUGCCUUCGGACGGGGGUUCAAUUCCCCCCACCUCCACCA
rnacentral:tmRNA from 1 species